rnacentral:sRNA from 1 species
UAGGACGUUAAAAGCCUACGAAAAAUGCCAACUUUUAGCGCACGGCUCUCUCCCAAGAGCCAUUUCCCUGGACCGAAUAUAGGAAUCGUAUUCGGUCUUUUUUU